UAUUGCGCAAUGGGGGAAACCCUGACGCAGCAACGCCGCGUGAGUGAAGAAGGCCCUCGGGUUGUAAAGCUCUUUAGACAGAGAAGAAGGGUGCCUUGGUGAACAAUCCUGGCAUUUGACGGUAUCUGUAGAAUAAGCACCGGCUAACUCCGUGCCAGCAGCCGCGGUAAUACGGAGGGUGCAAGCGUUGUUCGGAAUCAUUGGGCGUAAAGCGCACGUAGGCGGGUUCGUAUGUCGAUUGUGAAAGCCCUGGGCUUAACCUGGGAAUUGCAGCCGAAACUGCGGAUCUUGAAUACCUGAGAGGGUGGGAGAAUUCCUGGUGGAGUAGUGAAAUACGUAGAGAUCAGGAGGAAUACCUGAGGCGAAGGCGCCUACCUGGCAGUGUAUUGACGCUGAGGUGCGAAAGCGUGGGGAGCAAACAGG
rnacentral:rRNA from 1 species